rnacentral:lncRNA from 1 species
GAUUCGCUCCUAUAGGCCUCAUCAGGAUGUUCAAUUCAGGUGGAGCGGUCAAAGAAGUAGGUUAUGAAAAGGUUGAUGCGGGGAACAUACGCAUCAAAACACGGGGAUGUGGUACUUUUGGAGCCUAUUCAUCAGUCAGACCCAAAAGAAUCACAGUUGACACAGAGGAAGUCCAGUUUCAUUUUGAAGAAGCCUCUGGAUUGGUAACCCUCGAUCUCUCAGUCCCAGAGAGAGAGUUGUACCUCUGGACCAUCAACAUUGAAGUCUAAACAAUUAGUUACAGCAUUGAAGGCCGGGCCCCAUUAAUUUAGAACUCUGUAAACCUCCUUUAACACAACUACUAUUUCGUUGCAACGGUAAAAGAUGGCAUGCCCAAAAAUCAGCGGAUGGUUUUGGAUUGGAUAGGCUCUAUAUGUUUCGCAAACCCAUCAUCUCGAAGAACCUUUUGCUUCAUACUCCUAGAUUUUUUACCAUUUCAUCUUAUGAACGAGACAAAGAUAUUCCAUAACGAAAAUAAUGUUGGAAUGUAUGCCCUAAAACAAUGUAUUUGUUUUUAUAUUAUACAUUCCUUAUUAUAUGUUUUGUAUUUUAAUAACUUCUUAUUUAUCUGUUAAAUACUCUAUUAGAUACAACCGAUAAAGUCCUUAUAAUAUUACUAAUGUGAUGAUAGUCACAAGAGUUGGUGACUAUGAGAUAUCAAUCACAUUUAUAGUAAUAUUAUUAAAAUUCCCUAGUUUUUGUACUAAUGAAAUAGGACGUCUUUAGUACGGUAAAACUAGUACACAGUUAGCCUCUAAUUAAUGUAAUUAGUGGUUGUUCUCAUCAACUAUGGUAUGAAGAUACUUAGGCUAAUGUAUAGAUGAUUUGAAAAGUACAAAUGCAUUGGAGUGAUCCGUUUAGAGAUCCCGUCAGGAUAUCUAUCUAGUGCCAAUGGUGUAUCUCUAGUGAAAAAUUGUGUAAGUGAUCCUACGACUUGAGAUCACCAUAGUAUCUUGAGUGUGAAUCGCUACAUUUUGACUCUAUUUACUUGUUACUCUUCGUGAGUACCUUAAAGUGUAGAAGUUGGAUGUAGUGUGAAGCACAUAAAGAAAAUGGGUGAUCAAGAUAGGAUUUACCACUCUGAUAGAAGGAGUUGAUAUCCGGAUGGCCACUAGUGAGAAAUUAACCCUAAAGUCGACUAUUAGGUAAAUUGAAGAAUGUCUUCAAUUUAACCUAAUUAAGGGUAAAUUUCGGGAACUAGAAAAUUUAAUUAGUCAUCAGGGAAUUGACACUUAUUCCUUAUUCCUGACUAAUUGGAUUUCUUUGGUGAAAGGAUAAUAAUUACACGGUAAUUUUUCACGGAAAGGUUAGGUCAAAUUCCCUUGACUAAUUCCGAAUAAUUGGGCAAUCACGAUGUGUUGCUAGACACCGCUCGUGAUUUAUAAUUAUGGAUUAAUUAUAUAUUAUAAGUUAUGAUAAAAUAAAGUCGUUUAUUUUAUCUAAUUAUUAAACCAUAAUUAUUACCAAUGUAUUCGGGACCUAUUGGGUCACACGCAAUAGCACCCUUCAUUUUUGAAGUUGUUGUAAUCGCUAAUAACGCCUUGUGACAUAUUUGCAGUUUACUAAAGAUUUGGAAUCUCAAUGAUUUGAAUGGAGUGAUUGGAGUGUUCAACUGUCAAGGGGCUAGAUGGUGUAGAAUUGGAAAGAGAAACCUCAUUCACGACGAACGACCGGAUACAAUAACUGGAACCGUUCGGGCUAAUGAUGUGGACUACUUACCAAGAAUUGCUCCUGAUGGAUGGAGAGGCGAUGCUGUUGUCUAUUCUCAUAUUCAUGGUGGAACUGAAACACGCGCCCGCCCUUUUUCAUCAAAGGCUUAGUUGAAUUUUUCUUUAAUUUGCUUUGUUAUCUACUGCAGGAAAUCUAGUCUACCUUCCAAGCAAUGCUGCUCUGCCAAUUACACUGAUGGCACGGGAGUACGAGGUUUUCACGGUUGUUCCUGUCAAGGAAACAUCAAAUGGUUCUCGAUUCGCUCCUAUAGGCCUCAUCAGGAUGUUCAAUUCAGGUGGAGCGGUCAAAGAAGUAGGUUAUGAAAAGGUUGAUGCGGGGAACAUACGCAUCAAAACACGGGGAUGUGGUACUUUUGGAGCCUAUUCAUCAGUCAGACCCAAAAGAAUCACAGUUGACACAGAGGAAGUCCAGUUUCAUUUUGAAGAAGCCUCUGGAUUGGUAACCCUCGAUCUCUCAGUCCCAGAGAGAGAGUUGUACCUCUGGACCAUCAACAUUGAAGUCUAAACAAUUAGUUACAGCAUUGAAGGCCGGGCCCCAUUAAUUUAGAACUCUGUAAACCUCCUUUAACACAACUACUAUUUCGUUGCAACGGUAAAAGAUGGCAUGCCCAAAAAUCAGCGGAUGGUUUUGGAUUGGAUAGGCUCUAUAUGUUUCGCAAACCCAUCAUCUCGAAGAACCUUUUGCUUCAUACUCCUAGAUUUUUUACCAUUUCAUCUUAUGAACGAGACAAAGAUAUUCCAUAACGAAAAUAAUGUUGGAAUGUAUGCCCUAAAACAAUGUAUUUGUUUUUAUAUUAUACAUUCCUUAUUAUAUGUUUUGUAUUUUAAUAACUUCU